rnacentral:lncRNA from 1 species
CAAUCCGCUCCCGGGCCGCCCCGCGCGGCGCUGCUCGGCCGUGUCCGACAUCGGCGGCACAUCGUGCGGAGCGCCGUCUGUCCUUCGGGGGUGUCGCGGUUGUGCGUCACACGGAGGGGCCGCGACACCAAGCGGGAGAAGCUCAGCCCGGGGCUGCGGGUCACAACGGAGGAGCGCUGCGCUCACAGAGCUGCGCGGGGCGGGGAGCCGUCCUGACAAAGCCGCGUUGUGUCCAAACGCAGACAGUGCGGAAAGCGAUGGGUCGGGUUAAGGGCGGAGAGCCGCGCGGCAGAGCAAAACGGGGGUGAAGAGAAAGCUGCUGAAGGCCGCGAGAAGUGCCGCGUGCGGUGGGAUUUCCCGCUGAUCGCCUCCCGGCCCGGCCGGCCCAGCAGCGCGCAGAGAAGCAGCCACGGAGGAGCGGCGCCGCGCGGACCGCACCGCGUCACGGCCGGGACGUCCGGGAAGGGCGGCGCAGCCCCUCCAGCCGCGGCCCAUCGGAGCGCACUGCGCGGCCCGCACGGAAAUGCCGGCAUUGAUUCGGUUGUCGCAACGCGCCUCCGUUCCGGAAAGUUUUCUUGAGCUCCUAAGAAAGGGCUCCCGAAGCAUUAAGCUCCACAGGAACGGUCUGCUUGUGGGUUACCAGAGCUGGCAGGGAUGGGGUCAGGAGCAGCGGGGCACGGGUGUGCGGUCCUGCUGUGUAUUAAAUAGUGAUUGGAGGGAGAAGGAAAUCACGUAUAACAGCAGCACCGUCUGUGGGAGUCAGGUGUUGUUCUGCAGAGUAAUAAAGGACGAAGCUGAGUAAAAAGGGUCACAGAACUGCAGGGCGUGGGGAACCUGAGCAGCAGCAAAGGACUCGGUGUGAGCAGGUGGUGCACGCGGGGCACAGCCCACGCACCGGGUGGGCUCUGCUCUCUGCCAACACCUCCUGUGUCCGCGUGGGUGCCGUAAGAAGAAGGAAGCAAACGGGGAAAGAGAAAUGCAGGGGGUAGGAAGGGGCAGGCUGGAAACGAAGGAUGGGGGGAAGGUUCCGUCAGUGCCUGCAUCUGCGCUGUGCUGCUUCCUGAGCGCCGCGGUUCUCAUCAGGAGCUCCUAACGAGGUCAUGAACUGAGGGGCGAUCAAAGGGACUGCAGGGGAGCCCAGGAAAGGCGGCGAGGAGCAGAGCUGCAAAGAGGCACUCGGAGCGAGACAAUGUGAAGCCUUUAAGUCUUUUUGAGCGGCUACUGAGGUGGAAACAGCUGGGCUGAGGCGGAUGCUUUGAGACAGAACGUGGUUUGUGGGGACAGGACCAGCAAUGGAGACCUGAGUUUGGUCGGAACAGAGAGCUGGAGAAGACCUCUAUGAUGCAGGAUAAUUCUCUGCGCCCUCUCUGAUGGAAACCCCAAAGCACCCCUCUUCCCAUGCUGCUCUCCCACCUUGCCCAAUGGCAGGGCCGGUCAGCUGGCUGCCAUGUGCUCGGUGUGCUGGCAGCAGCUCAGCCUGCAUUCAGGGCGCGCUGCCUGCCCCACUGCUGCACCCACACUGCAGGACCGGGUGUGGUGGGUGCCCUCCAUCCAUCAUCUCCUGGGGCAGCACCUCCUGCAGUGCCCUGUGGGGCCGGGAGGGCCUUGGGGCGCAGAGCCACAGGUAGGGAGAGGAUUCCCACACCCAUCUCCAAGACUUAUCUGAGGCACAGCUCUGCACAGCGAUGACAAAGCCACUGCUGUCACCGAGCAGUCACCAAAUGACACAGCCUGAGGAAAGCAGGCUAUGGGAGGAGGAUGGGAGCCGGGCACACGCUGGUGGAGAAGACAGGCUGUGCGGCGUUUUGGAGUGCAUCCACGGUAGAACACGGAGCGUACCUCGCUAGCCAAAAACUGCCGAGAGCAUUACCUCCACGGGUACCCAAGGAGACUGAGAGCCGUAUUUGCACUCUGAAGGGUUCGUGAUGCAGCUGCUGCCAAGGCAGUGACUCAGGAGGAGGACAGAGCCCCGUGUGCCCCAUCACAGUGCCUCCAAUCUGCAGCUUCCGCUGCGAGCACACGGAGCAAAGCCUUUUGUGUCGCACUUAUCGUCAGCUCUGCAAGCAGGAAAGAAGUCAAAGCAGUUUGCUGUGAAUUGCUGGCUUCAGCAGUUGCACUUCCGUGCUGUCUCUCUCCUUCACAAGUAAAGUGAAGAAAUCCAUGUGCAGAGAGCCUAACAGUGAUCUUCAAGGCCAAAAAAGGCCAUGGACUUGGAGCCCGCAGGGCAGCUUGCAGGAGGUGCAGGCAGGGAACGUCUCGCCAAGAAGCCCCGGAGCCCAAAGGGUGCGGUCAGGGAUGGAGGUGGGAACGCAUCCCCAGCCCACAUCCCCACCCAGGUGACACUGCCUGGUUCUGCUCUCGCCGGGCGCUGUCACCAUCCCCCCCCCCCCCAGCAUGCUCCUUCUUGGGUGCCAUUUGGGCCCAAGAAACAGUGUAGCACGCCAUGACAUCAGACUGAGGGCUGUAAAUGUUGCGAGCACGGAAAGUUCAUUGCUGUAAGGCAGCGGUUCAUAGGGUAAGGCUGCUGGUUCCUGCUGAGCAGAGGCUGAGUGCCCCACAUCGCCCCACUGCCAACUGUGCCUUUCCCUGGGCUGCACCCACACUCAGUCCCAG